rnacentral:rRNA from 1 species
GACGAACGCUGGCGGCGUGCUUAACACAUGCAAGUCGAACGAUGAAGCCCAGCUUGCUGGGUGGAUUAGUGGCGAACGGGUGAGUAACACGUGAGUAACCUGCCCCUGACUCUGGGAUAAGCGUUGGAAACGACGUCUAAUACUGGAUAUGACUACUGGUCGCAUGGCCUGGUGGUGGAAAGAUUUUUUGGUUGGGGAUGGACUCGCGGCCUAUCAGCUUGUUGGUGAGGUAAUGGCUCACCAAGGCGACGACGGGUAGCCGGCCUGAGAGGGUAACCGGCCACACUGGGACUGAGACACGGCCCAGACUCCUACGGGAGGCAGCAGUGGGGAAUAUUGCACAAUGGGCGAAAGCCUGAUGCAGCAACGCCGCGUGAGGGAUGACGGCCUUCGGGUUGUAAACCUCUUUUAGUAGGGAAGAAGCGAAAGUGACGGUACCUGCAGAAAAAGCACCGGCUAACUACGUGCCAGCCGCCGCGGUAACAC